AGUGAACGCUGGCGGCAGGCCUAACACAUGCAAGUCGAACGGCAGCACAAGAGAGCUUGCUCUCUUGGUGGCGAGUGGCGGACGGGUGAGGAAUGCAUCGGAAUCUGCCCAUUUGUGGGGGAUAACCUCGGGAAACCGGGACUAAUACCGCAUACGACCUACGGGUGAAAGCAGGGGAGCUUCGGACCUUGCGGAGAUGGAUGAGCCGAGGCCGGAUUAGCUAGUUGGAGGGGUAAAGGCCCACCAAGGCGACGAUCCGUAGCUGGUCUGAGAGGAUGAUCAGCCACACUGGGACUGAGACACGGCCCAGACUCCUACGGGAGGCAGCAGUGGGGAAUAUUGGACAAUGGGCGCAAGCCUGAUCCAGCCAUGCCGCGUGUGUGAAGAAGGCCUUCGGGUUGUAAAGCACUUUUGUUGGGAAAGAAAAGCAGCCGGUUAAUACCCGGUUGUCAUGACGGUACCCAAAGAAUAAGCACCGGCUAACUUCGUG
rnacentral:rRNA from 1 species